rnacentral:misc_RNA from 1 species
AACGCAUCUUGCACUCCUUGGUAUUCCGAGGAGUAUGCCUGUUUGAGUGUCGUGAAUACUCUCAAGCUUGACCUUUUUUUCAUUAAGAAGGUCAUAGUUUGGAUUUGGAUGUUGCUGCGGUUGUACUAUCGCGGCUCGUCUCGAAAUGCAUUAGCUGGUCCACCGCGGUCUAUUAUAAAACUCUAUGGUGUGAUAAGAACACAAAUUCUUUGUAGCGCUAUAGUGAAUAGACCCAUGGGAUGUGAUUGCUUCUAAUAGUCCAUUGACUUGGACAAUAUCACUUUGUUAUCUGACCUCAAAUCAGGUAGGACUACCCGCUGAACUUAA